CGCCUGUUCCUGAGCACUGGCCCUAACCCUAAUCGCCCCUCCUCCGCUGCAUGUUAUAAGUAGGUAAACUGAGGCCUGGGGCCACACCAUUGGUUCUUGGGACGUCCCGGCUCCCAGCUGAUGGUGUAGUUGGCACUGACCAUUUUAAAUGGUUUUCACUUUCAUUGUCAAGUACCAGAACUCUGCCCCAACAGAUAGAGAUAUGCGUUAAACACGCAGCUCUGGGUCCCCAUGGGAAAUGGGGAGGGUUUGAACACGUGUCCAGGAGAGGACUCAAGCAGAGCAGAGAAGGCAGUAUUUUGGAAGAGAAUUUUAAUUUGUUAUUUAAAAAGACACAAAUUAUGCUUUGAAACUCAGCAAAGAAGGGAAAUCCACUGAGAACAGUCUGUUAAGGUAAGUGUAUUUAUUACAUGGCCUUGACAAACAUUGCCUUUACAACAUUGAUUUUUCUUUUAUUCAGAGAUUUAAACACUCGGAUUAAAGAUAUAGCUGACAGGACAACUUCCUUAACCACCUGCUUGUCCUCCCUCAUAGGCAAAAGUGCUGAGCAAUAGUUAGCAGAGAGCAGGAGGAAAUAAAAUGAUGUGCUGAGGGUAGCCAAAUGCAAUUGUAUGCUUGCUGACUUUUGCUUUCUUCUCGGCAGUUAAGACAUUCCAAUAGAGCUAGGUUUACUAAGAUUAAUGCUAGAUGGGAAAAGAGUGAGCUUGUACCACUUCUGGUCAAUAGUUAAAUAAAACCAGCUGGCCAAAUAAGGCAUUUAAGAUAAAAUGCAAAGUGGCAUUUCAAUUGGGUUGGAUGAAAUUUAUCAUGAAAGUCAGUUGUGUCAUUGCAUGGAGGAGCUAGUUUUGUAGAAAGGAGAAAGCCAUCCAGUUUGGUGUAACUAAUUUCAUUCCACGCAGUCACUGUGGAAGCUGAGUUACAGGAAAUGAACUUCCAAGUUGGAAGCAACGGGUAAAGCACCUACUCAGCCUCCUGUGAAACAUUAAAAUCUAGUUGGUUUUUACAUGGAAAAAUGUAAUUGUUUCCUCUUUCCUAGAUAUAUUUAUAAGCAUACCUCUGUACAGCAUUGUUCUUUGAUUCAUUGUUUAAUUUCUGUUCUGCAUGAACUAUUUUAAUUUAAAGAAUUCAUUCUGGGGAAUUAUAGGGCUGCAGUUUCAUCAAGAGUCUUUGGUGGCCAGGGUGAAAUAUGCCAUAAUUUUACAUUUGUUUUCAUCAUCAAUUAUGUUUUUGACAAUUUCAGGUUUUUUCCCCUGUCAUUUUUAUUACGGCAAUCAUAACCGUGACCAUUUUAGUUAAAGUUGAAAAGCUCUUUUGAUUUACCUUAUAUUGUAAGUUAUUCCUAACUUUAUGACAAAUCUACUUCUGGGGUUGAAUUUUUAAUGUUUAUUUUGAGGGUGAAAAGGAAUUUUACAGGGAAAUUAAAGAAAACCCUGUUUGGAUAAUCAAAAUAUGAGCUAUAAAAAUACCAUUUGAUGAUUUGCUUUGGGAUGACUAAACUCUGCUCCAUGAAAAUUGGAUGGCUUAGAAUUUUUCUGUGAUGGCUGGCCGCUAGUGAGGAAAAAAUGAUCUUAAGAAGUAGAUAAUUCUUAUUUUCAGCCAUAUGAAUUAUAUAUCUCUGGACCAUUGGAUCACAUCUUGGAAUAAAGCAGUACUUGAUAGUUUUUAGAAGUAAAUUCUCAUUAAUGUUUGGGAUUAGCGAUGGUGUAGCAGUCUUCAGAACCUUGCGAUCUUUAGAUACACUUAUGGUGUUCUCAUUCCUAUUGUAAAGUAUUUUCACACUGUUACAGUCUAUUUCCUCUGUUCUCAAGAAAAACCCUUUGUUAUUCUGGUGUUCCGAGGUCAGACAUGGAUUUAGUCCUGAUUUGGCUUUUAUUAGCUAUUGGACCAUGGACCCCCUGUGUCUCAAUUUUCUACUUUGUAAAGUGAGGAUAAUAAUACUAUUUUGUUCCGAAGGUUGUUGUGGAGAUUAAAUGAAUUAAUAUGUGUCAAGAGCUUAGAAAUGGUCUAGGCCCAUGAUGAGUACUCAGUAGCUAUUCACUGUUGCUGGUCUUAAUAUUACUGUCAUCAUUAUCAGCAUCAUCAACAGUAGUGUCUUUAUGAAUUUAUUCAUUGAAUAUAUUGAAAAGUCUUUUUUGAAGUGUCAGGAUAAUGUUUGGAAAUUGUGCAUGUUUUACUAAAGGGUGAAUUCUGCUUUGGCUUUAGGAAUGAAAUGAAAAGGUAACUUUCAGUUAGUAUGAAAAGUGAAGCCUUUGCAAGUAAAAAGUUGUCAGCUUGAAGUUUUGUAGGUAUCAGGGUAAACACUGUCUUUAGCUGCGUGUGGGCAACUACUAAUUAAUAUAGUCUUGAGAAAUGACUGAUCUAUUGCUAGCUAGUUAGGUUAAGGAAAUUUUGAAGAAAGCCUUGAUAAGUUGAAAGGAAAUUCUCCUUUCUUCUCUAUUUCCUGUCAUGUAUCUGCUUUCCCUUUCUAAUUGCACUUGAUUUUCUUUUAAAGUAGUUACACCAGGGACUCUACUCAGGAGCUUACACUCAGUCUAGGAAUGGGUGCACCACCACAGGCUUGGUUGUGUGGGACUUUUUCAUUAGAAUUUAAAUCUUGAGCUAAGGGAUUCUCCUUUUUCCCAGUGGGCAUUCUUCUCUGACAGUACCUGCCAUGAGACCACUGUACCAGUUACCAUUUCCCAGCCACUGAUAGUCUCCAAGUCUUAUUUUCCAGUCAGCCUCGGAUUUGCUGAGCCUCCAAUUUCCUUCCCAUAAUCUUUCUUAAAUUGGCCAAUUGGUUUCUGUUGCUUGCAAGCACAGAAACCUAAUUGUUAGAGUAGUUCACACAUUAGGGAGCUAUAUUUGGAAUCAAUGGGGUAUUGGAGGUUUACACUGAAAAUGCCAUUGAUUAUUUUUCCCAUCAUAUAUAAGUAGCUGAACAUUUUGCAGUAGAUGACAAAAGGUGAAGAGUUCUCAAUUAGCAUUUCAAAAACAGGCUGUUUUGCUGGACUCCCCACUAUUCCUGUGUUUAAUAAAAAGAAGUCACUUUUGUCUGUGUCUCGAAGUUCUCAAAAGAUAUGUGUGUAUGUUGGGGUAGAGUUGGAAAUGAGAAGAGAAGCAAAGAGAUUAUCCUUCCAAUUUCUGGGGCCCUGGUCUCUUCGUGUCAUGGGGACUGUGAAGGGGCUGUGAUUUCCUUCUACUUACUCCAGCAUCCCAAGAUAAAACUCUUUAAAUAUUUUUCUGCUUUCCCCUGAACUUUUAUUCCUCUUCUGAGCACUUUUCUUUGCCCUACUGAAUACCUUCUUGGCAAUGGUGUGUAAAAUGUGAUUGAAAACUCAAUUACUUAGGUCUCUGGCAUUUCUUGUGGUUUCCCAAGAAUGGAAUGGGCAAGUUUGCUCUAUUUCCCCUUGUGUCUGUUUUGUUGACUACUUCUAUGUUCUGUGCAGUGCCUAGAACAAAGCUGGUUAAUGGUUUUUUCACAGGGACAUCAAUUUUGUACUCUUACUGUGAAUAAAUAGUGCAGCCGCAAAGUAUGGUGGGAAGAGCCGUAGCUUGUGUUAGGAAACAUGCCUUCUAGUUUGGGCUCUGCUGAUUGUGAGCUUUAUGACUCUAGGCAAAACACCUACUUUUCUUACCAUCUCAUGUUCCUCCUCUGUAAACUCAGGCUGAUCUUCACCCUAUUGGCUGCAUAGGGUUGUUGUGUGGCUGAUCUAAAGAUGUUGUAUGUGAAAGUGCUUAGCAAAUUCUAAAGUGCUAUGUAACGUCAAUGUAUUAUUGUUGUAAUCAUGCUAUAUAUGUUUAUUAAACAGAUAAAAAUUGAGGCCUUGUUUUAUGAGGCUGUGUUUGAAAGAUUAGGUAAAUUAAAAAAAAAAAAAGAAACAAAACUCUGCAUAGUGCUUAUGCUGAAAUUCUCUAUUUGUGCCUUCAGCUCUUAUUCCUCUGAAAGUCUCUGUGUCCCUGGAGGCUAACUGCAAUUGUCUGAGUUCCUUUGUUCUUGUGAUUUCCAUUGGAUUAGCCAAUGGAAGGCAUUGGUAGAAAAUCUGAGACUAUGAGGUUGGAAUAUUAUACCCUACAUUGCUUGCAGCCCUGUGGAUUGGCAGUGGCUGUAUUCCUCUAAGGAAGGCCUCGGUCCCUGUUGGGGCCUCUCUUCUGCAGCUAUAGCUCUUUCCACUGUCGAGUAACUGCUCCUUUAAGUCUGGGGUGUUAAUAGUUUAUUUUUGCUAACUCCAGGGUACUGGUUGCUUUCUCUUGUUUUCCCUUAACCUUGCCUUUAUAUUAAAAAACAAAAAAACAGGAGUUCCCUUUAUGGCGCAGUGGUUAAUGAAUCCUGACUAGGAACCAUGAGGUUUCGGGUUCGAACCCCGGCCUUGCUCAGUGGGUUAACGAUCCGGCGUUGUCAUGAGCUGUGGUGUAGGUUGCAGACGCAGCUUGCAUCCUGUGUUGCUGUGGCUCUGGCGUAGGCAGGCGUCUACAGCUCUGGUUAGACCUCUAGCCUGGGAACAUCUAUAUGCCGCGGGAGCGGCCCUAGAAAAGGCAAAAAGACAAAAAAACAAAAACAAAAAACAAAAA
rnacentral:lncRNA from 1 species